rnacentral:rRNA from 1 species
AUUGAACGCUGGCGGCAGGCUUAACACAUGCAAGUCGAACGAGUGGCGGACGGGUGAGUAAUGCUUGGGAAUCUGCCUGAUGGAGGGGGAUAACUACGGGAAACGGUAGCUAAUACCGCAUACCAUCGGAUGAGCCCAAGUGGGAUUAGGUAGUUGGUGGGGUAACGGCUCACCAAGCCGACGAUCCCUAGCUGGUCUGAGAGGAUGACCAGCCACACUGGGACUGAGACACGGCCCAGACUCCUACGGGAGGCAGCAGUGGGGAAUAUUGCGCAAUGGGCGCAAGCCUGAUGCAGCCAUGCCGCGUGUAUGAAGAAGGCCUUCGGGUUGUAAAGUUCUUUCAGCAGCGAGGCGUUACCUGCAGAAGAAGCACCGGCUAACUCCGUGCCAGCAGCCGCGGUAAUAC